rnacentral:rRNA from 1 species
GAUGAACGCUGGCGGCGUGCUUAAUACAUGCAAGUCGAACGGACAGGCGAUGAUCUUGCGGCGUGCUCGAGUGGCGAACGGGUGUGUAACACGCGUGUAACAUGCACCUGUAAUUGGGGUAACAUCUGGAAACAGCGGAUCAUAUCGGAUAGGAGAUUUCGCAGCACGGUGGUGGUUGGUAAGAUUCGGCGGUUGGAGCUCGACUCGAGGCUUAUCCGCUUGUUAGGGAGGUUGUGGCUUACAAAGGCUUUGAAGGGUAGCCCGCCUGAGCGGGUGACCGGCCACAAUGGGACUGAGAUACGGCCCAGACGCCUACGGGAGGCAGCAGGGGGGAGUAUGGCACAAUGGGCGGGAGCCUGAUGCAGCAACGCCGCGUGCGUGAUGACGGCCUUCUAGGUGUAAACCACUGUCGCCUGAAACGAAGCGUGAGUGACGGUAAUGAGUAAGAAAGCACCGGCUAACUACGUG